rnacentral:rRNA from 1 species
ACACAUGCAAGUCGAGGGGAAACGACAUCGAAAGCUUGCUUUUGAUGGGUGUCGACCGGCGCACGGGUGAGUAACGCGUAUCCAACCUGCCCACCACAUGGGGAUAACCUUGCGAAAGUAAGACUAAUACCCAAUGAUAUCUCUAGAAGACAUCUGAAAGAGAUUAAAGAUUUAUCGGUGAUGGAUGGGGAUGCGUCUGAUUAGCUUGUUGGCGGGGUAACGGCCCACCAAGGCGACGAUCAGUAGGGGUUCUGAGAGGAAGGUCCCCCACAUUGGAACUGAGACACGGUCCAAACUCCUACGGGAGGCAGCAGUGAGGAGUAUUGGUCAAUGGACGAGAGUCUGAACCAGCCAAGUAGCGUGCAGGAUGACGGCCCUAUGGGUUGUAAACUGCUUUUAUAAGGGAAUAAAGUGAGUCUCGUGAGACUUUUUGCAUGUACCUUAUGAAUAAGGACCGGCUAAUUCCGUGCCAGCAGCCGCGGUAAUACGGAAGGUCCGGGCGUUAUCCGGAUUUAUUGGGUUUAAAGGGAGCGUAGGCCGGAGAUUAAGCGUGUUGUGAAAUGUAGACGCUCAACGUCUGCACUGCAGCGCGAACUGGUCUCCUUGAGUACGCACAAAGUGGGCGGAAUUCGUGGUGUAGCGGUGAAAUGCUUAGAUAUCACGAAGAACUCCGAUUGCGAAGGCAGCUCACUGGAGCGCAACUGACGCUGAAGCUCGAAAGUGCGGGUAUCGAACAGGAUUAGAUACCCUGGUAGUCCGCACGGUAAACGAUGGAUGCCCGCUGUUGGUCUGAAUAGGUCAGCGGCCAAGCGAAAGCAUUAAGCAUCCCACCUGGGGAGUACGCCG